rnacentral:rRNA from 1 species
UACGUAGGGCGCAAGCGUUUAUCCGGAAUUAUUGGGCGUAAAGAGCUCGUAGGCGGUUUGUCGCGUCUGCCGUGAAAGUCCGGGGCUCAACUCCGGAUCUGCGGUGGGUACGGGCAGACUAGAGUGAUGUAGGGGAGACUGGAAUUCCUGGUGUAGCGGUGAAAUGCGCAGAUAUCAGGAGGAACACCGAUGGCGAAGGCAGGUCUCUGGGCAUUAACUGACGCUGAGGAGCGAAAGCACUGGGGAGCGAACAGG